rnacentral:rRNA from 1 species
UGGGGAAUAUUGCACAAUGGGCGCAAGCCUGAUGCAGCAACGCCGCGUGAACGAUGAAGGUCUUCGGAUCGUAAAGUUCUGUUGCAGGGGAAGAUAAUGACGGUACCCUGUGAGGAAGCCCCGGCUAACUACGUGCCAGCAGCCGCGGUAAUACGUAGGGGGCUAGCGUUAUCCGGAUUUACUGGGCGUAAAGGGUACGUAGGCGGUUUUUUAAGUCAGGUGUCAAAGCGUGGAGCUUAACUCCAUUAAGCACUUGAAACUGAAAGACUUGAGUGAAGGAGAGGAAAGUGGAAUUCCUAGUGUAGCGGUGAAAUGCGUAGAUAUUAGGAGGAAUACCGGUGGCGAAGGCGACUUUCUGGACUUUUACUGACGCUCAGGUACGAAAGCGUGGGGAGCAAACAGG